rnacentral:rRNA from 1 species
UACGAAGGGGGCUAGCGUUGUUCGGAAUUACUGGGCGUAAAGGGCGCGUAGGCGGUACUUCAAGUCAGAUGUGAAAGCCCCGGGCUCAACCUGGGAAUUGCAUUUGAGACUGCGUAGCUAGGGUGCGGAAGAGGGAAGCGGAAUUUCCGGUGUAGCGGUGAAAUGCGUAGAUAUCGGAAGGAACAUCAGUGGCGAAAGCGACUUCCUGGACCAAUACUGACGCUCAUGUGCGAAAGCGUGGGGAGCAAACAGG